rnacentral:rRNA from 1 species
GAUGAACGCUGGCGGCGUGCCUAAUACAUGCAAGUCGAGCGAACAGAUGAGGAGCUUGCUCCUCUGACGUUAGCGGCGGACGGGUGAGUAACACGUGGAUAACCUACCUAUAAGACUGGGAUAACUUCGGGAAACCGGAGCUAAUACCGGAUAAUAUAUUGAACCGCAUGGUUCAAUAGUGAAAGACGGUUUUGCUGUCACUUAUAGAUGGAUCCGCGCCGCAUUAGCUAGUUGGUAAGGUAACGGCUUACCAAGGCAACGAUGCGUAGCCGACCUGAGCGGGUGGUCGGCCACACUGGAACUGAGACACGGUCCAGACUCCUACGGGAGGCAGCAGUAGGGAAUCUGCCGCAAUGGUCGAAAGCCUGACGGAGCAACGCCGCGUGAGUGAUGAAGGUCUUCGGAUCGUAAAACUCUGUUAUUAGGGAAGAACAAAUGUGUAAGUAACCAUGCACGUCUUGACGGUACCUAAUCAGAAAGCCACGGCUAACUACGUG